rnacentral:tRNA from 1 species
GCGCCCGUAGCUCAGCUGGAUAGAGCACCAGACUACGAAUCUGGGGGUCAGGAGUUCGAAUCUCUUCGGGGAGCC